rfam:TPA: Bos taurus chromosome 12, whole genome shotgun sequence.
UCCUGGUGACUCAGACAGUAAAUAAAAUCUGCCUGUAAUGCAGGAGACCCAGGUUCAAUCCCUGGAUCAGGAA